GGUGAUAGGACUUGCUCCUUGAGCUGUUGGCAGCCUCAGAAACCAGGCCCCUGCAACUGUUUAUUAAAAACAUAGCACUCUGCAAACACGAAAGUGGACGUAUAGGGUGUGAUGCCUGCCCGGUGCUGGAAGGUUAAUUGAUGUGGUUAGCGCAAGCGAAGCUAUUGAUCGAAGCCCCAGUAAACGGCGGCCGUAACUAUAACGGUCCUAAGGUAGCGAAAUUCCUUGUCGGGUAAGUUCCGACCUGCACGAAUGGCAUAAUGAUGGGGGCGCUGUCUCCAGCAGAGGCUCAGUGAAAUCGAAAUCGCCGUGAAGAUGCGGUGUACCCGCGGCUAGACGGAAAGACCCCGUGAACCUUUACUGCAGCUUGACAUUGAACUUUGAUCUUACUUGUGUAGGAUAGGUGGGAGGCUUUGAAGUGGCGACGCUAGUUGCCAUGGAGCCGUCCUUGAAAUACCACCCUGGUAAUAUUGAGGUUCUAACUCUGUCCCGUUAUCCGGGACGAGGACCAUGUCUGGUGGGUAGUUUGACUGGGGCGGUCUCCUCCUAAAGAGUAACGGAGGAGUACGAAGGUGCGCUCAGCGUGGUCGGAAAUCACGCGUAGAGUAUAAAGGCAAAAGCGCGCUUAACUGCGAGACCCACAAGUCGAGCAGGUACGAAAGUAGGUCUUAGUGAUCCGGUGGUUCUGUAUGGAAGGGCCAUCGCUCAACGGAUAAAAGGUACUCUGGGGAUAACAGGCUGAUACCGCCCAAGAGUUCAUAUCGACGGCGGUGUUUGGCACCUCGAUGUCGGCUCAUCUCAUCCUGGGGCUGAAGCAGGUCCCAAGGGUAUGGCUGUUCGCCAUUUAAAGAGGUACGCGAGCUGGGUUUAGAACGUCGUGAGACAGUUCGGUCCCUAUCUACCGUGGGCGCUGGAAAUUUGAGAGGAUCUGCUCCUAGUACGAGAGGACCAGAGUGGACGAACCUCUGGUGUACCGGUUGUGACGCCAGUCGCAUCGCCGGGUAGCUAUGUUCGGAAGGGAUAACCGCUGAAAGCAUCUAAGCGGGAAGCCUACCUCAAGAUAAGAUUUCCCUGUGACUUUAUGUCACCUAAAGAGCCGUUGAAGACUACGACGUUGAUAGGUUGGAUGUGGAAGCAUAGCGAUAUGUGAAGCUGACCAAUACUAAUUGCUCGUGAGGCUUGACUAU
rnacentral:rRNA from 1 species